rnacentral:tRNA from 1 species
GGAUUGUGGCUCAGCGGUAGAGCACUUGCCUAGCAUGUGCAAGGCCCUGGAUUCGAGCCUCAGCACCA